CCCGACUGAGCGUGAAGUUCAGAGACUGCGUCUAAACCCACCAUGUGUUUCACCCUGCUGUUGAGAAAAAAAAAAAGACGAUCCGUUUCAAACGGUCCGAUAGGGCAGCUAAAAAGAUGAUCGUAGACACGUGUAUUUCCACAACAUUGUGUUCCUGUAGUACUGUUACAUACUUUGUACAAUCGGAGUAAGGCACGGUCUGCUAAGCAAAGAUUGCCCACCAGUCUUUCAACAACAUGAGCGUUUCUUAAUGGCGUGCGGAGAGGAGCUGAGCGUGAAGCUGUCUGCACACAGCGGCUCUGCAGGCUUCAGGCUUGUCGCUCUCGUACGCAUUGUUGCGUGCAAACAGUGCUCUUACAGGAACACUAGUGAUGCCGUUUUUUUAAAAAAAAGAAUUUAACUGACCAUUUUGAGACCAUUUUCAGUACAUUAAAAUGAGGAGGAGUCCAGUGUUAACUUACAGGCAGUCCUUUCUAAUCUCCAAAAAAUCCCUGAAGCAUCAGUCUGUCUUGUUAUGGUCUUCCCUGAUGUCCUUUUUCAUAUCUCGCAAAAGAAGAAUUAAAACCACCCUUCCAGAUGAUGGGUGUGAUUGGUGACUCUUCUGGAGGUGCUCGUGCAGGCGGAACAAGAGCUCGGCUGGGACUGCAGCAGGGGCUUCAGCAGUGCACAUCUUCCACCACUGCCGUUUAAUGGGAAGACAGUCCGUGUCUCACGGCGAUUCAGGUGGCAGUGUCAAGGAACGGGGCUCCAAACCUUUAUCAAGUAGCCAUGGGGUUGUGCACCGAGAAGAUGCCUACUAACUAACUAACUGUUCACCGCCAGCAUAAUAGGAAAUUGACUGCGUCCUGCUUCGUCUGACUUCUAAUGCAUAAAAAUAAAAUAACUGGAAAUGCA